GGCAGAUAAUCAAAGGUUUCAUUAAAUGGGAUGCAAAUUUGGACAAUUGUUUGUGGACGAAAUUUGAGAGUUGGGAUUGUCAUAGCUUUCGUAUCUUGCCUUUUGUCAUUUCUUUUUUAACUGCAAAUAGAAAUUGCAUUGCAUGGCCCAUUGGGCAAGAACAUUACAAUAUUACCAUACAAAUUAUUAAACCCCUACCUAAUGAUAGAAGCCCAAAAAAGCUCAGCCCCAAAGCAACAAUCCUAAUUGAAGCUGAAAAACCUUGAGCAUAUGUCAACACAUAGCGGCCGCCGACCAGAACUAGGCAAGAGAAGGUCGCUUGAAGCCAAAUCAGGGAGAUCCUUCCUUCAAAGAAAACAAGAAAGUAGCCAAAGUAAGGAAAAUCAACCCAGCCAAGCAAGCACACCAUCUCUUCCAAACAAGAACCACAGGCUUAACACCGACGCCCUGAGAGAGGGAAAAGCAGGGCCAUGGCAGUCUCAUUUUCAUCAAGCCAUGGGAAGUCAGCAAACAACAUUAAUGCCGACUUUUCCAUCCCCAAACAGCUUUUCACCGAAUCUCUCUCAAAGUCGACGAAAUCAUCAAGAAGGGGACCAAGAAACCCAGGAAGCACCAACACUAAACAUAACUUCAAACUCAUUGCUUCCAUCAGCAGAUCUCCUCCAUAAGACCCUCUCUAGUAAUAGAUUCGGAUCUGCACAACCAACCACCAAAACCCAGAACUAUACAUUCCUGACCAGGGAGGGGAGGGAACCUAAUGCAGUCAGAAGAGACACCAUCCCCUACCCGAAGGCAGGGAAGGCGAUGGAAAAAUCGCUCAGCUAAACUGAGAAAAACAGAGAGAAACAAAUGAAGUUUCUUUGAGAGGAUUCUCUAAAAUAUAAUUUUUUUUUCUCUUAUUUCGAUAAUUUUAAGCAAUCUGUGGAAGAUACUAAGAUUUUGCUGAUGUAAUUUACCUUGUUGAAAAAGCAGUGAUUUUUCAUAUUUAUAGCACUAAAUUUAGGAAGUUUGUCGUGUGUCCGUUGUGUAUUUGCUGACUUGAAGAAGAGAAUCUUUUACUAAAAAAAAGUUGCUGCUGUCAAUUUUGUGCGCGCAAAGAAAGUAAGGAGUGUGUUGCAACCUUAGUGUCCUGAAAUAUCCUGUGUGAACUCUUGUGCAUGCCAUGAACUAUUCUCCCCCCCUGAAUAAUUACAGUGAAUUAAACAAUUCCCACAUCAACAAAUUUG
rnacentral:misc_RNA from 1 species